UACGUAGGGGGCAAGCGUUGUCCGGAUUUAUUGGGCGUAAAGAGCGUGUAGGCGGCCAUGCAGGUCCGCUGUGAAAACUCGAGGCUCAACCUCGAGACGUCGGUGGAAACCGCAUGGCUAGAGUCCGGAAGAGGAGAGUGGAAUUCCCGGUGUAGCGGUGAAAUGCGCAGAUAUCAGGAGGAACACCGGUGGCGAAGGCGGGUCUCUGGGCCGAUACUGACGCUGAGGAGCGAAAGCGUGGGGAGCAAACAGG
rnacentral:rRNA from 1 species